rnacentral:rRNA from 1 species
GACGAACGCUGGCGGCGUGCUUAACACAUGCAAGUCGAACGGAAAGGCCCUGCUUUUGUGGGGUGCUCGAGUGGCGAACGGGUGAGUAACACGUGAGUAACCUGCCCUUGACUUUGGGAUAACUUCAGGAAACUGGGGCUAAUACCGGAUAGGAGCUCCUGCUGCAUGGUGGGGGGUGGAAAGUUUCGGCGGUUGGGGAUGGACUCGCGGCUUAUCAGCUUGUUGGUGGGGUGGUGGCUUACCAAGGCUUUGACGGGUAGCCGGCCUGAGAGGGUGACCGGCCACAUUGGGACUGAGAUACGGCCCAGACUCCUACGGGAGGCAGCAGUGGGGAAUAUUGCACAAUGGGCGGAAGUCUGAUGCAGCAACGCCGCGUGCGGGAUGACGGCUUUCGGGUUGUAAACCGCUUUCGCCUGUGACGAAGCGUGAGUGACGGUAAUGGGUAAAGAAGCACCGGCUAACUACGUG